rnacentral:rRNA from 1 species
CAACCUACCUAUCANAGGGGAAUAACCCGGCGAAAGUCGGACUAAUACCGCAUAAAACAGGGGCACCGCAUGGUGAUAUUUGUUAAAGAAAUUCGCUGAUAGAUGGGCAUGCGUUCCAUUAGGUAGUUGGUGAGGUAACGGCUCACCAAGCCGACGAUGGAUAGGGGAACUGAGAGGUUGGUCCCCCACACUGGUACUGAGACACGGACCAGACUCCUACGGGAGGCAGCAGUGAGGAAUAUUGGUCAAUGGGCGGGAGCCUGAACCAGCCAAGUCGCGUGAAGGAAGAAGGAUCUAUGGUUCGUAAACUUCUUUUGCAGGGGAAUAAAGUGCAGGACGUGUCCUGUUUUGUAUGUUCCCUGAGAAUAAGGAUCGGCUAGCUCCGUGCCAGCAGCCGCGGUAAUACGGAGGAUCCGAGCGUUAUCCGGAUUUAUUGGGUUUAAAGGGUGCGUAGGUGGUUUGAUAAGUCAGCGGUGAAAGUUUGCAGCUUAACUGUAAAAAUGCCGUUGAAACUGUCGGACUUGAGUGUAAAUGAGGUAGGCGGAAUGCGUGGUGUAGCGGUGAAAUGCAUAGAUAUCACGAAGAACUCCGAUUG